GUAGCGAAAUUCCUUGUCGGGUAAGUUCCGACCUGCACGAAUGGCGUAACGACUUCCCAACUGUCUCAACCACGAACUCGGCGAAAUUGCAUUACGAGUAAAGAUGCUCGUUACGCGCAGCAGGACGGAAAGACCCCGUGACCUUUACUAUAGUUUGGUAUUGGUAUUCGGUGUGACUUGUGUAGGAUAGGUGGGAGACUGUGAAGCGGGCACGCCAGUGUUCGUGGAGUCGCCGUUGAAAUACCACUCUGGUCACUCUGGAUAUCUAACUUCGGCCCGUGAUCCGGGUCAGGGACAGUGCCUGAUGGGUAGUUUAACUGGGGCGGUUGCCUCCCAAAAAGUAACGGAGGCGCCCAAAGGUUCCCUCAACCUGGUUGGCAAUCAGGUGGCGAGUGUAAGUGCACAAGGGAGCUUGACUGUGAGAGUGGCAGCUCGAGCAGGGACGAAAGUCGGGACUAGUGAUCCGGCGGCUCGUUGUGGAACGGCCGUCGCUCAACGGAUAAAAGGUACCUCGGGGAUAACAGGCUGAUCUUGCCCAAGAGUCCAUAUCGACGGCAUGGUUUGGCACCUCGAUGUCGGCUCGUCACAUCCUGGGGCUGGAGAAGGUCCCAAGGGU
rnacentral:rRNA from 1 species